UGGGGGAUAUUGGACAAUGGGGGGAAACCCUGAUCCAGCGAUGCCGCGUGAGGGAAGAAGGUUUUCGGAUUGUAAACCUCUGUGGACAGGGACGAUAAUGACGGUACCUGUUUAGAAAGCCACGGCUAACUACGUGCCAGCAGCCGCGGUAAUACGUAGGUGGCGAGCGUUGUCCGGAAUUACUGGGUGUAAAGGGAGCGUAGGCGGGAUCGCAAGUCAGAUGUGAAAACUAUGGGCUUAACCCAUAAACUGCAUUUGAAACUGUGGUUCUUGAGUGAAGUAGAGGUAAGCGGAAUUCCUAGUGUAGCGGUGAAAUGCGUAGAUAUUAGGAGGAACAUCAGUGGCGAAGGCGGCUUACUGGGCUUUAACUGACGCUGAGGCUCGAAAGCGUGGGGAGCAAACAGGAUUAGAUACCCUGGUAGU
rnacentral:rRNA from 1 species